rnacentral:rRNA from 1 species
AUUGAACGCUGGCGGCAGGCCUAACACAUGCAAGUCGAACGAGUGGCGGACGGGUGAGUAAUGUCUGGGAAACGGCCUGGUGGAGGGGGAUAAGUACUGGGCACGGUAGCCACUUACGCCUAGCAUCGGAUAGGCCCAGAUGGGAUUAGCUUGUUGGUGGGGUAAAGGCUCACCAAGGCGACGAUCCCUAGCUGGUCUGAGAGGAUGACCAGCCACACUGGAACUGAGACACGGUCCUGACUCCUACGGGAGGCAGCAGUGGGGAAUAUUGCACAAUGGGCGAAAGCCUGAUGCAGCCAUGCCGCGUGUAUGAAGAAGGCCUUCGGGUUGUAAAGUACUUUCAGCGGGGAGGCGUUACCAGCAGAAGAAGCACCGGCUAACUCCGUGCCAGCAGCCGCGGUAAUAC